UGUGGCCCUGUCGACUCGGAAACGUGAACCCCGCCAGGCCCGAGAGGGAGCAACGGUAGCGCGGAAGGGUGUGACAGGGCCUUUCCU
rnacentral:SRP_RNA from 1 species